rnacentral:rRNA from 1 species
UACGAAGGGGGCUAGCGUUGCUCGGAAUUACUGGGCGUAAAGCGCACGUAGGCGGCUUCUUAAGUCGGAGGUGAAAUCCUGGAGCUCAACUCCAGAACUGCCUUCGAUACUGGAGCUCGAGUCCGGGAGAGGUGAGUGGAACUGCGAGUGUAGAGGUGAAAUUCGUAGAUAUUCGCAAGAACACCAGUGGCGAAGGCGGCUCACUGGCCCGGUACUGACGCUGAGGUGCGAAAGCGUGGGGAGCAAACAGG